rnacentral:rRNA from 1 species
UACAGAGGUGGCAAGCGUUGUUCGGAAUUACUGGGCGUAAGGGCUCGUAGGUGGCCAACUAAGUCGGACGUGAAAUCCCUCGGCUUAACCGGGAACUGCGUCCGAUACUGGUUGGCUUGAGUUUGGGAGAGGGAUGCGGAAUUCCAGGUGUAGCGGUGAAAUGCGUAGAUAUCUGGAGGAACACCGGUGGCGAAGGCGGCAUCCUGGACCAACACUGACACUCAUGCACGAAAGCGUGGGGAGCAAACAGG